rnacentral:rRNA from 1 species
UACGGAGGGUGCAAGCGUUAUCCGGAUUUACUGGGUUUAAAGGGUGUGUAGGCGGACUUUUAAGUCAGGGGUGAAAUCUCCGAGCUUAACUCGGAAACUGCCUUUGAUACUAUUAGUCUUGAAUUAUGUUGAGGUUGGCGGAAUAUAACAUGUAGCGGUGAAAUGCAUGGAGAUGUGAUAGAACACCGAUUGCGAAGGCAGCUGGCUAAACAUAUAUUGACGCUGAGGCACGAAAGCGUGGGUAGCGAACAGG